AGGUCCUCGGAUCGUAAACCUCUGUCAGGAGGAAAGAACCGCCACGGUGCUAAUCAGCCGUGGUCUGACGGUACCUCCAAAGGAAGCACCGGCUAACUCCGUGCCAGCAGCCGCGGUAAUACGGAGGGUGCGAGCGUUAAUCGGAAUCACUGGGCGUAAAGCGCACGUAGGCUGCUUGGUAAGUCAGGGGUGAAAGCCCGCGGCUCAGCCGCGUAAUUGCCUUUGAUACUGCCGAGCUAGAGUCCGGGAGAGGGUAGUGUAAUUCCAGGUGUAGGAGUGAAAUCCGUAUAGAUCUGGAGGAACAUCAGUGUCGAA
rnacentral:rRNA from 1 species